rnacentral:rRNA from 1 species
AUAACGGUCCUAAGGUAGCGAAAUUCCUUGUCGGGUAAGUUCCGACCUGCACGAAUGGCGUAACGACUUCCCCACUGUCUCGACCAGGAGCUCGGCGAAAUUGCAGUACGAGUAAAGAUGCUCGUUAAGCGCAGAAGGACGAAAAGACCCCGGGACCUUUACUAUACCUUGGUAUUGGCAUUAGGCGCGGAUUGUGUAGCAUAGGCGGGAGGCUUCGAAGCGGGUGCGCCAGCAUUCGUGGAGCCGCAAGGUGAAAUACCGCUCUGUUCUCGUUUGAUGUCUAACCUCGAACAGUCAUCCUGUUCAGGGACAGUGCCUGGCGGGUAGUUCAACUGGGGCGGUUGCCUCCCAAAGAGUAACGGAGGCGCUCAAAGGUCCGCUCGGCCCGGUUGGCAAUCGGGUGUCGAGUGUAAUCGCACAAGCGGGCUUGACUGCGAGAUCGACGGAUCGAGCAGGGACGAAAGUCGGAGAUAGUGAUCCGGUGCCGGCGCACGGGCGCGGCAUCGCUCAACGGAUAAAAGGUACCCCGGGGAUAACAGGCUGAUCAUUCCCAAGAGUCCAUAUCGACGGGAUGGUUUGGCACCUCGAUGUCGGCUCGUCGCAUCCUGGGGCUGGAGCAGGUCCCAAGGGUUCGGCUGUUCGCCGAUUAAAGCGGCACGCGAGCUGGGUUCAGAACGUCGUGAGACAGUUUGGUCUCUAUCCUCUGCGCUCGUUGGAAUGCUGAGGAGGCCUGCCCAUAGUACGAGAGGACCUGGGUGGACGAACCUCUGGUAUGCCGGUUGUCACGCCAGUGGCACGGCCGGUUGGCUACGUUCGGAAGGGAUAACCGCUGAAAGCAUCUAAGCGGGAAGCCUUCUCCAAGAUAAGGAUUCCAUGCGGCCCCGAGCCGCUGAAGACCCCAUGCAGAACACGUGGUUGAUAGGCCGGACGUGGAAGCCCCGCGAGGGGUGGAGCCGACCGGUACUAACGGACGAAAGGCAACACUAA